rnacentral:tRNA from 1 species
AGGAUUAUAGUUUAUAAAAAAAAAACAUUUGAUUUGCAAUCAAAAAUUAUUGAAUUAUCAAUUUAUCUUA